CGGAGGCUUCAGAAUAGCGGAGGUGUCGUUUGUGCAGUUUGUUUUGGUUUCAUGCUGGUGCUGACGGGCGACCUCUACUGGAUCAAAAAAAAAAGUUGCACAUUCUUCGAUUGCAGUUAAUCAGUUUACUCAGUUGAUAAUUAUCUGAAGGUAACGUUAACUUUGAUCAGCGUCAUCAACAAACAACUUUGCUCAGUUUGCAGUGUCAGUAGAUUAGAGUUCUUAAAAUGAAAGAGUGACUUUGAGAAAACUCAAACUUACACGCAUGUCUGUUUCUUUGUGGCUUUCUAGCCCAGUCGACUUGAUGUGCAGGUAUCUCCUCUGACAUUUUUACAUUUUCCUGAAGUGCCAAUGCACCCCUGAGUACAUUUUUCAAAGCCCUGAGUAGACGCAGCGUCACAGUACACACUUUACAUGUUCCUUUAAAGGUCGUAACAGAAGUGUGAUACAGAAAGUAGAAGAUGUACCGCCACAAUUAUUUGUCCUUCUACAAUAAAUAAAAGGUAACAUCUAAUGGUUAUUACCUUUUGAGCUAAGAAGAGUCGUCAACCGUUUUAAAACAAGCUGAGGCCUUGUAAUUUUAUUGGAAACAGAAUCAGGAGCCUGUAAUGGUGCGUUCGCGUGUGUGUGUGUGUGUGUGUGUGUGUGUGUGUGUGUGUGUGUGGACUUGAGAAUCUAAAAAUGAGAGCGCCGCAGUAAUUAAACACCAGAAAUAAGGUCUUCAAUUAUCAGUGGAUCCAUAACCUGCACUCAUUAAUUAAUUAAUCAUUUAAAAGUUAAUUAAAAGGAAGAACAGGGGCGCGGUGGUUGGCGGAGUUACCUCACAGCGAGUCGGCACGGUUACACUCCUUCUCUGUGUGAAAGCUUUUUUAUAAUCACUCAGUUGACUUGUUUUUCUCCCUUCAUCCAAAAAUAUAACAGCUACUUGAAGGUGUAAAUAACCUUUUUGUGUGCUGUCUUUCAUUUAAUUACGACUUAGAAGAUGGUUUCCCACUCACUGCGUAGGAAAAUAAACAUCAUGUUUCAGGAUGUGACGACCUGACAAAAGACUUCAGUAGUGUCUUGUUUAAAGGUCACAUCGUAGAAAUUUUCAAAACGUUUAAAUAAGUCUCAGAGCUCCCUAAAACAUGUGUGUGAAGUUUCUUGUUCUAAAUCCACUCUGAUCCUGUAUUUGAUCAUGUCUAUAAACCCCUCUAUUUCAGCCCUGCUCAGAACAGGCUGUUUCUGUGUCUGUACCUUUAAAUAUGUAAAUGAGCCGUGUCUGACCACGCCCCCUCUCUGGAAGGGCUUUGGGUGUACUCGUGCUUUCUCUCUCCAUGUCCUAUUGUUUACGGUGAGAAGGCAGACUCAGAGGGCAGCACAAACACCUAGCUGUGGGAGUGUCACCCACCUGGGGGAGGGGCUACUGCCCUUUGUGAUGUCAUGAAGGGAAAAUCUCCAAACGGCCUGUUUGAGCACACAUUUUCUGAAAAGUGGAGCAGGCAAAAGAUGGAGAGGAUGGACUUUUCUCAUUAUUGGGGGGUUUGUAGACGGACUAGAGACACAUGUUAGAGUUAGAGGAACAUGGAGAAGAUGAUUUUACUCCUCAGAAAAGAGCUCGUCGAUAUUUUAGGGAUUAAACUCUGUGUAUCUCUGAAGCGUCUCAUAUCUUAAACACGCCUGAUAUGAAGGAUGUGACGGAAACUGAUGAACUCUUUUGGACCAUGUUGAUCAUUUCAAGACGGUUUAAUGAAUGAAGGCUGCUGGGAACGAUCUUCUGCAUGCUCAGCUUUACGCGAGAUAAUGUUCUAAAUUUGAUCAUGUUGACAUUUUAUUGACGUAGACUUCCAGCGGGAUAUCAUCUCUUCAUUGCUACAGCGUGUCCUGCCCAUCACUCAGAAACAUUCAAGUGACCUUAAACAACAUGUUUACAUGUGAAUGAUUUUCCAUGUUUCUUCAUUUGGAUCCUGGAGUUAUCAAUAAACAUUUACCACUCUGA